rnacentral:rRNA from 1 species
GAUGAACGCUAGCGGCAGGCUUAAUACAUGCAAGUCAAGGGGUAGCAAUACAACCGGCGCACGGGUGAGUAACGCGUACACAACAUACCAUAUACUGGAGUAUAGCUUUGGGAAACUGAAGGUAAUCCUCCAUAACAUUGCGAGAGGGCAUCUGAUUGCAAUUAAAGUUUCGGCGGUAUAUGAUUGGUGUGCGUUUGAUUAGCUAGUUGGUAGGGUAACGGCCUACCAAGGCGACGAUCAAUAGCUGGCGUGAGAGCGCGACCAGCCACACUGGAACUGAGACACGGUCCAGACUCCUACGGGAGGCAGCAGUAGGGAAUAUUGGACAAUGGAGGAAACUCUGAUCCAGCCAUGCCGCGUGAUAGAUGAAGGCCU